rnacentral:rRNA from 1 species
UACAGAGGUCUCAAGCGUUGUUCGGAUUCAUUGGGCGUAAAGGGUGCGUAGGCGGCUUAGUAAGUCGGGUGUGAAACCUCCAGGCUCAACCUGGAGACGCCACCCGAUACUGCUGUGGCUAGAGUCCGGUAGGGGAGCGUGGAAUUCCUGGUGUAGCGGUGAAAUGCGCAGAUAUCAGGAGGAACACCAGCGGCGAAGGCGGCGCUCUGGGCCGGUACUGACGCUGAGGAGCGAAAGCGUGGGGAGCAAACAGG